rnacentral:rRNA from 1 species
AGUGAACGCUGGCGGUAGGCCUAACACAUGCAAGUCGAACGGCAGCACAGUAAGAGCUUGCUCUUACGGGUGGCGAGUGGCGGACGGGUGAGGAAUACGUCGGAAUCUACUUUUUCGUGGGGGAUAACGUAGGGAAACUUACGCUAAUACCGCAUACGACCUACGGGUGAAAGCAGGGGAUCUUCGGACCUUGCGCGAUUGAAUGAGCCGAUGUCGGAUUAGCUAGUUGGCGGGGUAAAGGCCCACCAAGGCGACGAUCCGUAGCUGGUCUGAGGGGAUGAUCAGCCACACUGGAACUGAGACACGGUCCAGACUCCUACGGGAGGCAGCAGUGGGGAAUAUUGGACAAUGGGCGCAAGCCUGAUCCAGCCAUACCGCGUGGGUGAAGAAGGCCUUCGGGUUGUAAAGCCCUUUUGUUGGGAAAGAAAAGCAGCAGGUUAAUACCCCACUGUUCUGACGGUACCCAAAGAAUAAGCACCGGCUAACUUCGUG